ACAUAAAUGCACAAGAACAAGCCAACUAAGUCGCAUAAAUAUGCUCCUAUCAAAUUCCCCCACACUUAGCUUUUGCUAGUCCUCGAGCAAAACAAAGAGAUAAAACGAAACAAAGUAAAAAAAAAAACACAACCUAAACCUUCCAACAUUUGCCUCAGGGAUUUCCAAUGCACAUGACAUGUUAAAAAUUAUUAUCCCCACAGAUUUGAGUCAUCUUCACACUUAAGCACGUACUUAAUCAUAGUCACCACUUACUAGUUCACAAUUAAUCAAUUAAAAUAAUGUUUUUGAAUGUAGUAACAUGCCUUAGAGAAAUCACUCAAUUCCUUACAAGAUAUGCACUCAAUUUUCACUCAGAUUUUCUAACUACACACCCUAUACUAGUUAUAUGUGAGAAGAUUGAUGUAGAUAUGAAAACGAACGCUCACAUAUAUGUAUCACAAAG
rnacentral:lncRNA from 1 species